ensembl:lncRNA
UUAAAAAAAAAAAAAGCAACAGAAGACUCCUGGGCCUCAUCCCACUAAAUUCACAUGCGGGAUCCCAUUCCCUGACCAGGAAUCGAACCCAGGCCUCCUGCAUUGGGAGCGUGGAGUCUUAACCACUGGGCCACCUGGAAAGUCUUGACCAACAGCUUUUAAACGGACGAAUGAAGCUCUCGUCUCGCUUCUCUGCCAAUGUCGGUGUUUGGCUUCCCAGUGCUUAUUUCCCUGUCAGCACUAGUUGUGCUGGAAGUUUGGGGGGUGUGUGUGUGUGUUUUAUGUUAUUUUGAGUCUUCCAGAUACCUUUUGUUAUGUAGUCACCUCAACAUGGACUAAGUUGUUAGAGAUCAAAUUGUUUUUAAAAACGUGAGGGAGUUGUUGCUGAGGAUCCAUCCUGCUCUGAUGUGUUAGGAUUCUCUAUGGCUAAGAAUUGAUGUUUUCAAAUUGUGGUGCUAGAGAAGAUUCUUGAGAGUCCCUUGGACUGCAAGGGAUCAAACCUGUCAAUCCUAAAGGAAAUCAACCCUGAAUAUUCAUUGGAAGGACUGAUGCUGAAGCCGAAGCUCCUAUACUUUGGCCACCUGAUGCUAAGAGCCGACUCAUUGGAAAAGACCCCGAUGCUGGGAAAGAUUGAGGGCAAGAGGAGAAGACAGUGGCAGAGGAUGAGAUGGUUAGAUAGCAUCACGGACUCCAUGAACAUGAAUUUUAGAAAAUUCCAGGAGAUAGUAAAGGACAGGGAAGCUGGAGUGCUGCAGUCCAUGGCGUUGCAGAGUCAGACUGAACAACAGCAUCUGAUUCAAUGUUUAAGUAACACCUUAAUCAGACAUAGCAGAUGUGCAUGUGAACCGAGUCACUUCAGUGGUGUCUGACUCUGCAACCCUAUGGACCAUAGCCCGCCAGGCUCCUCCGUCCAUGGGAUUCUCCAGGCAAGAAUACUGGGGUGGAUUGCCAUUUCCUCUUCCAGGGGAUUUUCCCAACCCAGGGAUCGAACCCACAUCUCUUAUGUCUCUUACACUGGCAAUCAGGUUCUUACCCUAGCGCCACCUGGGAAGCCCAACAUGACAUACGUUCAUUGCAAAAAUUUGAAAAAUACUAAAGAGAAAAUAAGGAUGUGAAAAUCACAGCUUACGCCACUCACCCACAAGAAACACUGUUAACAUUUUUGUGAAUUUUCUUCAAGCCCUUUUUUAUAUCUCUGGAUAAUUUUAAGUGAAACAAAAAUUAGAAUUAGAUACUAAAAGAAAUUUUCAUAUAUUGCACUGUGGGGAAAUAAUUCUGGUUUAUACAUGAGUUAACUUGAAUUUUAUGCUAACUGAAAGAGCCUAUAGGUGGCCUAUCAAACAUAUAUUGUACAUCUGCUUUAAUUAUUAAAGAAAAGGACACAUUGACCAGAAGGAAAGAAUGUCACGUUCAAAAUAAAAGACUAAAUGCCUCUUCCUGGGACACCAAUGCUGGUCCUUCCCUGACGAUAAGACUCCCUUCCCAGGCGCCAAGGCCGCGCUGAGUCAGCGUGUGUGUGUUGAUCUGCUCUUUUUGAAACCUUGAGAGAAAUAUUUCCCUCACGUGUUUGACGUCCUUUGGUUUUGACAAGACAUAAAACUCUGCUGACAACCAUGUUUCUCCAGCACAGUUCCUCAGAGUAAUCUGAGAGACGGUCUUCCACGCUAUAGUCCUCGCUUUGGCUCAAGUAAAACUCUUCUAUUAUAGAUUAUCUAUUUGUUAUUUUCAUCAACACAGACUGUAUACACUCUUUUGCAAUGUGUUUCAG